UUUUUAAUUAACCCUAUUUAAACUAAUGUUAUAUUUGUAUCUCUUUUCUUCUAUCCUGAACAUCUUGGAUCAUUGUAAUACUAACAUAGUGUUUGUUCUCUCACUCACUCUAUAUAGCAGCUGAUUAAUUUCAUAUCUCCUCCACUUUCCUUAUCAGGUCUCUCACACUCUGGGACUACUAUGCACCCAUGCUAAUCAUCUUGGGGCUGGAUACCAGACAACUGGAGACAGCCCCUAUGUCCUGGUGCUUGAGAAAUUAUUCAAAUUAUCCAACCUGCAGCAAGAUACCAUAUUUCAUUUAGUUGUCAUUUCUCCUUAAACUUCUCUUGGUUGUGAUAGUUUCUUAGAUUGUCUUUGUUUUUGAUGACCUGGACCAUUUUGAAGGCUACUAGACAGAAAGGGUCACUACAGAUUUUCUUUAAGCGGCACACACACCUCAUGCCAGAAUGCUGAAAUACGGAUUAUCUGGGCAUGUUUUCACUGAGAAAGGCAGAGCAAAUGAUGGAGGAGAGAGAGUAAAACAUAAAGGAGAAAUACAGAGGCAAAUAGCAUGUCCGGAAUUGGUGGGUUCUUGGUCUGACUUCAAGAAUGAAGCCACAGACCCUCGCAGUGAGUGUUACAGUUCUUAAAGGUGGCGUGUCCAGAGUUUGUUCCCUCUGAAGUUCAGAUGUGUUCCGAGUUUCUUCCUUCUGGUGGGUUCAUGGUCUCGCUGGCUCCGGAGUGAAGCUGCAGACCUUCGCGGUGAGUGUUACAACUCUUAAGGCAGCGCGUCUGGAGCUGUUCGUUCCUCCCGGUGGGUUCAUGGUCUCACUGGCUUCACGAGUGAAGCUGCAGACCUUCUCAGUGAGUGUUACAGCUCAUAAAGACAGUACGAACCCAAAGAGUGAGCAGUAGCAAGAAUUAUUGCAAAGAGCAAAAGAACAAAGCAACCCCACUGCA
rnacentral:lncRNA from 1 species